GUAUAAACCAACAACAGCAAAGAGAAUUGUAGAAGAAACCACCAUAUAUUCAGAUGUUGGCAAUACCUUUUUUUUUAAAAUGUAAAAUCAGUAGAGAAGAGGAAACUGCCAUUAGAGAAAGGUGGAGAUCCUGUAUGGGAGACUGAGGAAGAAGUAAAAUGACUGCCACCAUGGAAGGCCCAGACUUGGGAACACUAGUACCUCCUACAGCAAUGGAAGAAGCCAGAAGACAGUUGAACAUCUGUAACAGAAAAGACUAUCGUGGUAAUUUUUUUUUCUUAAGAAAAAAAUGUUUGUCUUCCUCAUCCUAAGAAAAAGCAACACUCAAUCACCCUUGGUCUAUCUUAAGGAGGAUUAAGAUAUAGCCACAUUUUUCCUGCUUUGCUAUAGUCAGACUCAUGUUGAAUAUUGCCCACACUCCCUUGUCUGUGUUCUCUCCUCCUUCCAAGUUCUUGUCAGUCUAGACUUUGCCUUCUCCCUCCCAUCCCUCCCUAAAGUUUCCCUUGCAGUUGCUAAUCCAGGGGGUACACAGAGGACCAUGAAAGACUGGAUCUCUCAGCAGCCCGGAACGUUCUUCACUCUCUUCUCUUUCUUGAGAUUCUUUUCUGCCCUUGGUUUCUGAAUCUUUGCACUCUUGUGGGGUCUGGCUUCUCCUUCAUGGCCUUCUUAACAAGUUCUUCCUUUAGGGAAAAGGUCCCCUAAAUGUUGCUUCUCUUGCGAUUCCAUCUUGAUCUGGUUUCACUCUGCCUACUAGACCAUCCACCUAGAUACCUACUAGAAACUACACAAAGGUUUUUCAUGGAUGAAUUAUACUCAGCUGAACUUCUCAUCUUCUCAACCAUCUUCUAUUUCAGAAAAAGGCACUGCCAUAGAAACCAUAACCCUGACUUCUGUCAUUUUAAUCUUAAAUGUGCCCCAAAGGCCCAUGUGUUAAAGGCUUGGGUGGGGCCUGGUGGGAGGUCUUUAGGUCUUUGGGGAAUGCCCUCAAGGAUGGUUAUGGAACCCUUGUCUCUUCCUCUUUCUCUUUCACUUCCCCAGCCAUGAGGUGAGGGGUUUUGCUCUACCACAUCUGUCGGCAUCCUGAUAAGCAUAUCAUUUUCAGCCUUACAUUUUAAAUGGCCUAAGAACAAUGGGCCAAUUGAUCAUGGAUAGGAACCACCCACACUGGAAGAUAAAACAAACAUUUUCUCUUUAUUAUAGUAACAGAAAGCUAACAUGGCGGUACUCUUACAUGUCUCUCUCCCCGUCACUGUUCUGCUUAUCACUACCUCACAAAUUAUUCCAAAAUGUAU
rnacentral:lncRNA from 1 species